rnacentral:rRNA from 1 species
GACUCUCGGCAACGGAUAUCUCGGCUCUCGCAUCGAUGAAGAACGUAGCGAAAUGCGAUACUUGGUGUGAAUUGCAGAAUCCCGUGAACCAUCGAGUCUUUGAACGCAAGUUGCGCCCGAAGCCUUCGGGCCGAGGGCACGCCUGCCUGGGCGUCA